UUGGUAGCAUUACAAGUUGCCUGAUUCCCAGAGGGGAGAGUUUGGAAGAAUUGGAGUUCAAUCUCAGAUACAGUGUUCUAGAAUUCAACAUAAUACCAGGAACCAGCACCAGUAAUAUUCACAUAAGUAUAACUUCUACCUUUGCUAGUGAUUUUCCCAUGACAGUGUGUAUAUAUGAUGUCAUAGUUCCCUGCAGCGGACCCUGUCGCCUUCCCUUUGUUGGAUGACAGGUUCACUUUAAUAUAAAAAAAUAAAUAUGUUUUCAUACAAUGAUUCCUGCUUUAGGAGUCUGGAAUCGGCACAGAAGAUAUAGAGAGCGCGCUAAGAAGAAUGCUCCUACUUGAUUCAAAUAAGAAAUUAUUUACUGCAGACAUGCAAAUAAGUGGGAGAAAAGUGAAAAAAGAA